GUAGGUGAACCUGCGGAGGGAUCAUUACCGAGCGAGGGCCCCCGGGCCCGACCUCCAACCCCCUGUUAUCCGACCACCGUUGCCUCGGGGGCGACCCGGCCUUCGGGCGUCGGGGCCCCCGGUGGACCCCCCCAACCCUGCAUCUGUGCGUCCGAGUCCACGAUUGAAUCAAUCAAAACUUUUAACAACGGAUCUCUUGGUUCUGGCAUCGAUGAAGAACGCAGCAUCUGACUGACUCGGGCAUAAGUCA
rnacentral:misc_RNA from 1 species